rnacentral:lncRNA from 1 species
GUUACAAAAGCCCUUUUAUAAAGCCAUUUUUAAACAAAACAAACCAAAAGGUUUACAAAAGAAAAGGAUACAGAAAAGAGUAACUUGCUUCAUAUGUCCCCAAGAGGAAAAAAAAAGGGGGGGGGGGGGGACAAUACCAACAUGCUCAACAAAAAGGGGUUCUUUUCCUUAUUUCUUAGUACAAAAUACAAGCAAAGGACACGCAUACUUAAAACAGAGUUCAGGAGCCGACAGCAGUCCUGGAAAUCCUUCAGUUGGAGCAAGGCAGGAGUUUGUUGUUGUUUAAGCAAAUGUGUACAGACCGGGAUAGGUAAAUGUACGAAACGAAGUAUCACGUCAGACCAUCACAUGAGUCCACCAAUGCAUGUUGCAUCUAUAAAUCAUGAACAUGGUCAACAAAACCAUGUCCAACUCGGUUUCAUUUAAAUUAAAGAAAAAAAAAAAAACCUUAAAGUGGUUACAUUCCAACUUUAGCUUCCUUAGUACCAGGCUGCAGAUUUCAGCACUGCUAAGGUAUUGCAAGAACGCCCAGCACUCUGAUGUUUAAUCAUGUAUCAAGCCACACUGCAGUAUGAAGAAAACGAUGCCAGGUUCUCAGCCCAUGGCCUCAGACAGGCUAGCUUUCUCACUUUCUGCUCAGAACACGAAAGAUUAAAGACUAAAACCGAGGAAGACUAGGAGUCUUUAGAACUGGCGAAUUAAAUCUAAAAGAUGAAUCAAGGCAAACUGAUCGUGGCGGCUGAGCAACCUGGUGACGUCUUAAGCCUUGCAGGAAUGAAGCAUCUAAGGUUUGCUGCAAUAUGUUCAUGGUACACCGACUAUGUAGAGCUUUUGUUUACAAAUCUUGUAACAAAUACUUCCAGAGAACGGGGGAAAAUCACUAACUUCCAGAAGACAAAGGUUGAAUUGCCAGACAUUUACAAAUACACACUCACACAUACCCACGUCACACUUCAGGGUUUUAUACAUGUUAUUUUUAGGGCAUAACUGAGUACUAUACUUCCCCAACCCUCCACAAAAAGCAAAACCAGAAACAACCCAAAAAAAAAAAAAAAAAACAAAAACAAAA